rnacentral:tRNA from 1 species
GUCUGGGUAGCUUAGCGGUUAAAGCAUUCCUCUUCUCU